GAGAAACUGAGAGCAGCAUUCAUCCCAUUGCCGAGAAACUGAGAGCAGCAUUCAUCCCAUUGCCGAGAAACUGAGAGCAGCAUUCAUCCCAUUGCCGAGAAACUGAGAGCAGCAUUCAUCCCAUUGCCGAGAAACUGAGAGCAGCAUUCAUCCCAUUGCCGAGAAACUGAGAGCAGCAUUCAUCCCAUUGCCGGUAAGUGCGAACGUUAAAUGGUAAAAUUGAAAUUUAGUGUUAAGAUUUAAGUUGAUGAUCACAAAUCGAAGCGAGGCUAGAAACUCAAAAUGGGUUGAGAUCAUUUUUGUUUUACUUUAAGGGGUUUGUUU